rnacentral:rRNA from 1 species
GACGAACGCUGGCGGCGUGCUUAACACAUGCAAGUCGAACGGAAAGGCCCUGCUUUUGUGGGGUGCUCGAGUGGCGAACGGGUGAGUAACACGUGAGUAACCUGCCCUUGACUUUGGGAUAACUUCAGGAAACUGGGGCUAAUACCGGAUAGGAGCUCCUGCUGCAUGGUGGGGGUUGGAAAGUUUCGGCGGUUGGGGAUGGACUCGCGGCUUAUCAGCUUGUUGGUGGGGUAGUGGCUUACCAAGGCUUUGCCGGGUAGCCGGCCUGAGAGGGUGACCGGCCACAUUGGGACUGAGAUACGGCCCAGACUCCUACGGGAGGCAGCAGUGGGGAAUAUUGCACAAUGGGCGGAAGCCUGAUGCAGCAACGCCGCGUGCGGGAUGACGGCCUUCGGGUUGUAAACCGCUUUCGCCUGUGACGAAGCGUGAGUGACGGUAAUGGGUAAAGAGGCACCGGCUAACUACGUG